UACGGGGGGGGCAAGCGUUGUUCGGAAUUACUGGGCGUAAAGGGCUCGUAGGCGGCCAACUAAGUCAGACGUGAAAUCCCUAGGCUCAACCUAGGAACUGCGUCUGAUACUGGAUGGCUUGAAUCCGGGAGAGGGAUGCAGAAUUCCAGGUGUAGCGGUGAAAUGCGUAGAUAUCUGGAGGAAUACCGGUGGCGAAGGCGGCAUCCUGGACCGGCAUUGACGCUGAGGAGCGAAAGCCAGGGAAGCAAACGGG
rnacentral:rRNA from 1 species